AUUGAACGCUGGCGGCAGGCCUAACACAUGCCAGUCGAACGGUAACAGGAAGAAGCUUGCUUCUUUGCUGACGAGUGGCGGACGGGUGAGUAAUGUCUGGGAAACUGCCUGAUGGAGGGGGAUAACUACUGGAAACGGUAGCUAAUACCGCAUAACGUCGCAAGACCAAAGAGGGGGACCUUCGGGCCUCUUGCCAUCGGAUGUGCCCAGAUGGGAUUAGCUAGUAGGUGGGGUAACGGCUCACCUAGGCGACGAUCCCUAGCUGGUCUGAGAGGAUGACCAGCCACACUGGAACUGAGACACGGUCCAGACUCCUACGGGAGGAAGCAGUGGGGAAUAUUGCACAAUGGGCGCAAGCCUGAUGCAGCCAUGCCGCGUGUAUGAAGAAGGCCUUCGGGUUGUAAAGUACUUUCAGCGGGGAGGAAGGGAGUAAAGUUAAUACCUUUGCUCAUUGACGUUACCCGCAGAAGAAGCACCGGCUAACUCCGUG
rnacentral:rRNA from 1 species